GUCUGCCUCCCAGGGCCUCGUGAAUCCCAGGGAAGCCAUGAGCUGCCACAUCACGCCCGGAAGGAAGCGGGCUGCGUUGGAGGGAAACAUGGAGCUGCAGCCGGUGCUGGCAAGGAAAAGCAGCGUUUGGCAGGGUGGAAGGAAAGAGUGCUUAUGCUGGUGCCCGAGAGAUUGGUCUCUGGUAGAAGAAACAUAGCCCCAGACUUGGAAGCCCGAAUAGCCACGUGCUGUCUCCAAGACUCAGAGCAGAGACCCCUAAAGCUGAACCGGAUUCACAAGAGGAGCAGAGGACCGCCUCCCGCAAACCCGGGAAGUCCUUGAGCCCUGCAGGUGCCGGCUUUCCCUGCUAAUGAAGCCCAUCUAGGCUGGAGCCCUCAGUCUGGGUGAUGUCAUCCUUUUGAGCUUCAGGCAGGCAAGGGGUGGAGCCAGGCUAGAGCUUUGCAGAGUUUGCACGCUCCACCCCUGACUGCUCUGACUUCUGGGCCCUGUCUACCCAGCUCCCUCUUGGCCACGGCUUCCUGGCCAGCCCUGCUGGAAACCGGGAGCUGCUGCAGAGCUGGAGGAGGGAGGGGGUCACCCAGAUCACCUCUGCAGAGAGCAGGGCCUGGCCGGGGAUGGGCUUCACAGAGGCCCUCUUCCACCCAUCCAUGCUUGUUCCUACGUUCACUUCAGGGAGCCCUGAGGUUUUGCGGGAACCCAGGGUCCUGGGACCCCAGCCUCAGCCUCUCCCCUCCACCUAGCAUGUCCAGAAAUGCUCAUCUGCAGUACCAAGUACCAGGUGUCCCAGUGGAAUUUCUUCUCUGAAUACCACUCCGGGGAGGAAUAAAACUGAGGGAGAUAAGCACCA
rnacentral:lncRNA from 1 species